GGGGCCAUUACCUAGCUUGUACUAAUUGAGCACAAGUUUGCAUCUUGCUGUCAUGUGUGUGUGUUUAUAAAUGCUUUUAGUAUAGCCUCAUUGUGAUGGGGAAGUUUCAUAAAUAUGCAAUCAUCGAUCCCUGUAUAGCUGCCUUUAAUCAAUUUUAUUAUUUUCUUCGGGAGAUUCUAUGCAUGGAUCAUCUUGUCAUUUCUCAAUUGAGGGAGUGCUCAGAAGUUGCCAGAAGCAGCAAAAGUUCCCAUUUAUAGAAUACCUUUCCACUGUAUUGAGGUUUUUCAUCUUUCACAAUCUUUCUGGAAGAUGUUUCUGAGGGAUUUCUCAUAAGACAGAUGCAUCGGCUCCUGUGACUGAUGAUGGUCUGACUUCACAAGUGGCCUUUCUGAGAGGUUACUAAGACUUGACACAUUAACAUCUCAUAAAUCUACUAUGUUCCACUCCUAAAACAUGCAUUUCCUUUCUACCUGCCAGAGUAGAGAAACGCUUGUGCUCCUUUGUCAUCAUGCCUAAGCAAGGUAAAGGGGAGCCACUUUUGCACAGAUGUACACCUGCUCGAUGUCUCAGAUAUUCGGUGCACAUCCCCCACUUCUCUCUUGCAGCCUCCAAGAAAACACAUGUGACCUUUGAUAGUUCAGAAAAAUCUUGUAAACCUCUCUCCGAUGUCUAAUAAUUUCCUUAUUCUUCCUGGAAUGAUGUACCAGCCAGUACGGACAGCUUGUGGACCUCGGCUCAUGGGCACAGCAAUGGAGGUGCACUUUCUGGGAGGUGAGGCGGCCCCCUGGUGCUACCAAGUCCCCUGCGAGGACUUGCUCAGUAUUUGCUGCUAACGAUUAUGAUGUAAGUGCACGAGGCAGCCGUCAGUUAACAAACCCCCCGAGUCUAAAUCAGCCCUGAUUUAACUUGCCCUUCAAGUAAAGGUUAAAGCAUGGAGAAACUCAAAAUACACAUUUUGUACGAGAAACACCCUGCAGCUUGUGAAUGAAUGCACAAGCCAUGUGUACCCUUUGUAAAGGAAGGCAUUCAGUGUUUCCACUAUUUCUUUCCAACUAUGUCUCCUCCGAGAAA
rnacentral:lncRNA from 1 species